rnacentral:lncRNA from 1 species
UUAUGAGAACUGUAAAUAUCUGCAGACAUUUUCUCUUUCCUAUUCUAAAACUUACUAAAAUUUUAGAUACAGGAAUUCUCUGUUGAAAAAAAUAUAUAUAUGUAUAGAUAGAUACACACGUAUAUAUAUACGAAAUGUGAGAAAAAAUAUAUAUAUAUAUUCCUUUGAUGGUCUUUAAUAUUUAGUUUAAAAACUUUAAGGAAAUCAUAAAACUUUUAAAUUUCAACUCUCUCUAAGAUUAUAUGGGCAGUUAAGUUUAAAUAUAGAGCAUAUAUUUCUUCAGUUAAAAGGAAGUGUGUAUUUACUGCUGUUCAAUUAGAAAAAGCAAUUAACACCUGCCUAAUCAUAAGCUACACUGUUUUUUAUGUUUAGAUUUUCAAAAUAGAGCUUGCCCAUAAGGACAUCUACCUACUGGGGAACAUAGAAUUAUUUUGAAAAGUUUGUUAAGAAUUGGCUGAUUACUUGACCUAAGGAUUUAAUUCAGCAUGAAUACACAAAAGAAAGAAAAUGUAUAUUUGCUUGUGUUCAAGUCUGAAAUUAAGCUUUGGUCUACGGUUAAAUUAAUACAGCCCUGAGAACACCUUGUCUUAACUUCCUAAAAAUUAAUUUUGAGAAAUAGAUUUAAUAGUACCAAGGUACAUUGUUGUUAUAAUGAAGAAGGCGAGAAUAGUUUUUAUUACCUUAAUUGACGCGCUUUUAUAAAACGUCAUUUGCAUCUGGAUUCUAAAGGGAACGUGAAUUAUUUUUGCACGAUUAUGAUUUGGAGUAAUAUUGAAAUAUUAAAAAAAUUCAUCCUUUUAUUCUUAAUUGAAUUCCAAUGCAGUAACUUCAAAACAAUGGAAAUAGCAUGAGGCCAGAAAGGGGAAAGGGAGUAGUUGACACUUUGCAUACCACCAGUAACAUGGAAUAGGAGGGAUGCUACAAUUAUAGGAUGCUACUAAAUAUGAAAAUUUAUUCAUUAAUUCAGCAUUUGUACACUGAGCAUCUACUAUGUGUCAGCUAUCAAGUAUGUAAUGAUGAGCGAAGAAAAAAAAACAAAAAACAAUAAUCAACCCAAAAAGUAAUACUGUCAUGUAGAUUAUAGCAUUAAGAUUAUCCAAAACUUAAACAUUCUACAAAUAGAUGUGAAAUUAAUUACAAGUGUUAAAGUGUUAUUACUGCUACAAAAGAAAGGUAAUGUUUUGCAAGAUCAUAGAAUAGUCAACUUAACCUUGUAGAAAGAUCAAGGAAGUCUUCCCAAGGAAUUAAAUGAUACUUUCAUUAUCUUUGCUUUACCUGUGAAGAGCUGAAGUACAGUUAAAUAACUUGCUAAAGUUUUCACAACUGCUAAGUGAUAAAGACAGGACUGGGAUCCAUGCACUGGUGCCAGAGCCUACAAUAUUAACCCCUCUAAUAUACUGUCCGCCACUGAAUUCCUUACUAUAAUGUCAAGAGUUUAUUAGGCAAGCUUCAUCAGGUUGACUAAGCAAUGGUCAUCAAGGGAACAGUAAAGAGAGGUUAGGAGAGAGGAAUAAUUAGAAUUAUAAUAACUCAAAUAUGCAGCAACCUCACGAAUUAGGAAAGGAAAAGAAAAAGAAAAAUAAAUAAAUGUAUAACUAGCCUUGAAUCUAGUUUAUGGAAAUAAGUAGUUUUCAUCUAACAGUCUGCAUAGGAAACUACAUAAGCUCAAUUCACAGAAUGAAGAUAAAUGAUUAUUAAAAAUAAUCCUCAUCUAUGACAGAAUACUUUGUGCCCACUCCCAAUCAUAUCAUUUAAAGCUAAAUUACCAAAAGCAUGUCAUUUGUCUUUGAAUUUCAGGUUUAUUAACUGUAUAAUGGCAAUUGAAUUACCUUUCCUGGAAUUAAAGGUAAACAGUCUUUUCCCCACAUUAUUCUGAAAUUGAUUUUGCUUUGAAGAUAACAUGUACACUUACAUUGUGUUUCUGUUUCAUGAAAAUCUAUUGUUAAUGCUAAAUAUUUUAAAAUAAUGUUUUCAUUCAUUAAUUCAAUGAAUACUUAGAAAAUUCUAUUGAAGAUACUGGACAAAAUUAAGAGAGGCAUAAUUUUGGAGCUUACAUUCUAUAGGAGGAGAAAGAAAAUUAACAAGUAGACCAAGCCAUGUAUAAAUACAAUUUAUGUUUAUAAUUGAAUAUGGAACAUGCAGAAGCCAUUCUCAAAUGGAUAACUCUAGUCUGGGUGGAAAUCAAACAUUUCUUGCCCAAUGUACCAAUGAGACUGUACCAUAAUAAUGUGUAAAUAUUCCUAAUAUAAAUAAUAGUAUAAGUAAUAUUUGCUUCAGUGCUUCAAUUUCUUAAUCAAAUACACUAAAGAAUAAUUGUGGAUCUUUAAUUUCUACAUUUUACAUUUACUUUGCUGAAUAAUUAUUAUAUUUAUAAUAUUACCAAUAUUUAAUAACCUACUCUACUGUAGUAGGGCUUCUACGGUAGGAAAGCUAAGAUUGUAAAUCCUAUUAUAAAGUUUUGUUUUUCCCUUAAGCAAAACAACUCCUAUUUUUUUUGUGUAAACUCAUUUUUCUACAAUAAUUGGAUGUUUUAAAGAGACAUAGUUAUUCUUCUGGUAUUUUCUAUUUUAUUUUUUCACUGCAAAUUCAUCACCUCAUUCUGUUGACUGGAUCAAAUUUAUUAUUAAUGUAUCACCUGGGCUGUCAGUAAUUUUUAACAUGUCAAUAUUUUCCAGUAUUUCUAGUAAGUAUGCUUUACCAGAAACAUACAUAUUUUAUAGUUUUUCUUUGCUUCUUAAAUUUUCCUUUAUUUAUUUUCAGAAGUCUUUGUCUUUCUUUUCACUGAGAAAGUCAACCAUGGUUUAUGGGUCAGCUUAAUUUUUUACUUAAAGGAGGUCUUUCCUAAUUACCUAAUUUAAAUUGAUAUCCACUCAGAUUGUUCUGUUUUAUUGUAUCCUAAUGUUUUCCUUCAUCUGUCACAUUUCAAAAGUAUUGCUUAUGUAAGUCCUCAAAAGUAUUGCUUAUGUAAGUGUUUUAGCAUACACUUUUCCUACCACUUGGAGUCUCAUGGUCCCAGUGACUACGUGGGUUUUGUUCACUGAUACAUGCCCAGUUUUUAGCACAGUGCCUUGUACAGAGUAUGAAAUAUUUUUCCUGUAAAGAAAUGAGUGUUGGAUGUUACAGUCUGUGAUAAUAAGGAAAAUCCUGCCCUUCAUUUGUUACUUUCUCUUGCAUAAGAAAUACUUCACUAUUAUUUACCUUAAUUCUUAUCUCAAUUCUAAUAUGCAUGCUGGUUUGUGCCAUUGCUAAGCUCUUUUAAUUGCAAAAGACAAGAAUAUUUGUUUUUAACAGAGUAAUUUGUUAUGAUUCCACAUCCUCCAACAGUGUCAUGGUACAAACAUAAAAUAUAAUAGAGAACAAUGACCAACUUUUAUCUCCUUAUUCUAGUUUUUAUCUCCUUGUGAAUUAAUUUUAGAACUCAAAACUUAGAUAAAAGUAUCUAUGGAGAUUUCUUCCUUUUCAUUUUACUUUACCUAAUUUUAUUGGCUUGAAAGACCUCAUUGUGCUUAAUUAAUAUCAGUGAUCAAAUCUAUUAUGUUCACUUUCACUAUGUAGGUCUUUAAGGGGUACCAACCACUCAAAUAGUCAAAAAGUCCAUGUAUAACUUUUGACUAACCCAAAGAGUUAACUACUAAUAGCCUAUUAUUGACUGGAAGCCUUACCAAUAACAUAAACAGUCAAUUAACACAUAUUUUCUAUGUGAUAUGUAUUAGAUACAGUAUUCUUACAAUAAAAUAAACUAGAGAAAGGAACAUAUUAUUAAGAAAAUCAUAUGAAAGAGAAAAUAUGUUUACUAUUAAGUGGAAGUGGAUCAUUACAAAAGUCUUCAUCUUUGUCAUCAUUUUGAGUUGGCUGAGGAGGAGAGGAAGAGGAAGGAUUGGUUUUGCUGUCCCAGGGGUGGCAGAGGGGGAAGGAAAUCUGCAUAUGAAUGCAUUCAUGCCAUUCAAACCUAUGUUGUUCAAGAGACCACUGUAAAUUAAAAAGGCAUCAGAUUUUUUCCCCUUGUUUC